GAUGAAGAACGUAGCGAAAUGCGAUACAUAAUGUGAAUUGCAGAAUUCAGUGAAUCAUCGAGUCUUUGAACGCACAUUGCGCCCCCUGGUAUUCCGGGGGGCAUGCCUGUCCGAGCGUCAUUGCUGCCCUCAAGCACGGCUUGUGUGUUGGGCCUCCGUCCUCCUCCCGGGGGACGGGCCCGAAAGGCAGCGGCGGCACCGCGUCCGGUCCUCGCGCGUAUGGGGCUUCGUCACCCGCUCUUGUAGGCCCGGCCGGCGCUUGCCGACACAUCAAUCUUUUUUCCAGGUUGACCUCGGAUCAGGUAGGGAUACCCGCUGAACUUAAGCAUAUCAAUAAGCGGAGGA
rnacentral:misc_RNA from 1 species